rnacentral:rRNA from 1 species
UACGAAGGGGGGCUAGCGUUGUUCGGAAUUACUGGGCGUAAAGGGCGCGUAGGCGGUGUGUCAAGUCAGGCGUGAAAGCCCCGGGCUCAACCUGGGAACAGCGCUUGAGACUGGCACGCUCGAGUUCGGGAGAGGAUGGUGGAAUUCCCAGUGUAGAGGUGAAAUUCGCAGAUAUCAGGAGGAACACCGGUGGCGAAGGCGGUUCUCUGGAACGCAACUGACGCUGAGACGCGAAAGCGUGGGGAUCAAACAGG